UCCAAGAUGAGACCUCCCAUUGCGCAAGCAAGUAAGACCCCUCGAAGACGACGAGGUUGAUAGACCGGGAGUGCAAGCAUGGCGACAUGUUCAGCGGACCGGCACUAAUAGGUCGAGGACUUGACCGA
rnacentral:rRNA from 1 species